rnacentral:pre_miRNA from 1 species
AGAAAAACAAACCAUGGGUUUCCGUGUACAACUUUGACUGUCCGUCUUAUAUAAAAUUUUUUUAUAAUUUAUAUUUUCAUUGUUGUUAGAUGAUAAAACAUGAUUAACAUUUUAUGUGUGACUUUUCUUUUUAUUUUUUUAAAUAAAAUGGACGGUCAAACAUUAGACCAGA